rnacentral:rRNA from 1 species
UACGUAGGUGGCAAGCGUUGUCCGGAUUUACUGGGCGUAAAGAGCGCGCAGGCGGUCGGAUAAGUCGAAUGUGAAAGCCCCCGGCUCAACUGGGGAACUGCACAGGAAACUGCGGGACUUGAGUUCGGGAGAGGGUAGUGGAAUUCCCGGUGUAGUGGUGAAAUGCGUAGAUAUCGGGAGGAACACCAGUGGCGAAGGCGACUACCUGGCCUGUUUCUUGACGCUGAGGCGCGAAAGCUAGGGGAGCAAACGGG